CUACUUACCUGGAAGGGGAGAUACCAUGAUCACGAAGGUGGUUUUCCCAGGGUGAGGCUCAUCUAUUGCACUAUAGAUGUGCUGACCCCGUGAUUUCCCCAAAUGUGAGAAACUUGACUGCAUAAUUUGUGAUAUGUGGGGACUGCGUUCACUCUCUUCCCUC
rnacentral:snRNA from 1 species